GACGAACGCUGGCGGCGUGCUUAACACAUGCAAGUCGAACGGAAAGGCCCUGCUUUUGUGGGGUGCUCGAGUGGCGAACGGGUGAGUAACACGUGAGUAACCUGCCCUUGACUUUGGGAUAACUUCAGGAAACUGGGGCUAAUACCGGAUAGGAGCUCCUGCUGCAUGGUGGGGGUUGGAAAGUUUCGGCGGUUGGGGAUGGACUCGCGGCUUAUCAGCUUGUUGGUGGGGUAGUGGCUUACCAAGGCUUUGACGGGUAGCCGGCCUGAGAGGGUGACCAGCCACAUUGGGACUGAGAUACGGCCCAGACUCCUACGGGAGGCAGCAGUGGGGAAUAUUGCACAAUGGGCGGAAGCCUGAUGCAGCAACGCCGCGUGCGGGAUGACGGCCUUCGGGUUGUAAACCGCUUUCGCCUGUGACGAAGCGUGAGUGACGGUAAUGGGUAAAGAAGCACCGGCUAACUACGUGCCAGCAGCCGCGGUGAUACGUAGGGUGCGAGCGUUGUCCGGAUUUAUUGGGCGUAAAGGGCUCGUAGGUGGUUGAUCGCGUCGGAAGUGUAAUCUUGGGGCUUAACCCUGAGCGUGCUUUCGAUACGGGUUGACUUGAGGAAGGUAGGGGAGAAUGGAAUUCCUGGUGGAGCGGUGGAAUGCGCAGAUAUCAGGAGGAACACCAGUGGCGAAGGCGGUUCUCUGGGCCUUUCCUGACGCUGAGGAGCGAAAGCGUGGGGAGCGAACAGGCUUAGAUACCCUGGUAGUCCACGCUGUAAACGGUGGGUACUAGGUGUGGGGUCCAUUCCACGGGUUCCGUGCCGUAGCUAACGCUUUAAGUACCCCGCCUGGGGAGUACGGCCGCAAGGCUAAAACUCAAAGGAAUUGACGGGGCCCCGCACAAGCGGCGGAGCAUGCGGAUUAAUUCGAUGCAACGCGUAGAACCUUACCUGGGUUUGACAUGGAUCGGGAGUGCUCAGAGAUGGGUGUGCCUCUUUUGGGGUCGGUUCACAGGUGGUGCAUGGCUGUCGUCAGCUCGUGUCGUGAGAUGUUGGGUUAAGUCCCGCAACGAGCGCAACCCUUGUUCACUGUUGCCAGCACGUUAUGGUGGGGACUCAGUGGAGACCGCCGGGGUCAACUCGGAGGAAGGUGGGGAUGACGUCAAGUCAUCAUGCCCCUUAUGUCCAGGGCCUCACGCAUGCUACAAUGGCUGGUACAGAGAGUGGCGAGCCUGUGAGGGUGAGCGAAUCUCGGAAAGCCGGUCUCAGUUCGGAUUGGGGUCUGCAACUCGACCUCAUGAAGUCGGAGUCGCUAGUAAUCGCAGAUCAGCAACGCUGCGGUGAAUACGUUCCCGGG
rnacentral:rRNA from 1 species